GAAAUGCGAUAAGUAAUGUGAAUUGCAGAAUUCAGUGAAUCAUCGAAUCUUUGAACGCACAUUGCGCCCGCCAGUAUUCUGGCGGGCAUGCCUGUUCGAGCGUCAUUACAACCCUCAGGCCCCCGGGCCUGGCGUUGGGGAUCGGCGGAAGCCCCCUGCGGGCACAACGCCGUCCCCCAAAUACAGUGGCGGUCCCGCCGCAGCUUCCAUUGCGUAGUAGCUAACACCUCGCAACUGGAGAGCGGCGCGGCCACGCCGUAAAACACCCAACUUCUGAAUGUUGACCUCGAAUCAGGUAGGAAUACCCGCUGAACU
rnacentral:misc_RNA from 1 species